rnacentral:rRNA from 1 species
UACGUAGGUGGCGAGCGUUAUCCGGAAUUAUUGGGCGUAAAGAGCGCGCAGGUGGUUGAUUAAGUCUGAUGUGAAAGCCCACGGCUUAACCGUGGAGGGUCAUUGGAAACUGGUCGACUUGAGUGCAGAAGAGGGAAGUGGAAUUCCAUGUGUAGCGGUGAAAUGCGUAGAGAUAUGGAGGAACACCAGUGACGAAGGCGGCUUCCUGGUCUGUAACUGACACUGAGGCGCGAAAGCGUGGGGAGCAAACAGGAUUAGAUA